CCAGCCCUGCCAAGAACGCUCUGAGGGCUGAUGAUAGACAACUUGCCCAUCAAAAUACAGGGCAUGCUGGGAACAGCCCAGCACAGACAGCUGCGUGGACAUGGAGACAAAACGGGCCUCUGGUCCCGAGAGAGUGGGCCCUGAACUGCACAGCUGAGCUGAGUUAGCAGAGGGAGAGGGGGAAGAUGGUCUACUCUUUGGGCGGCAUAUUAAAAGAACCCGUCAGUCAGGCACAAUCCACUAGCGUGAAAUUCACAUUAACAUUGAGAAAACAAAGGCAGCGUGGAGAACAGGGAACUUCAAACAGUGCCACGUUUUCAAUAUUAUUGUGCUGAAUGAGCUUCCAGCCACCUGUCAGGGUGCAGCGUCUCCAUCCCCAGCACCCAGGACUGGCUCUAGGCACCAGCAAAGCAAGCAUGUGCUUGGGGUGGCACGUUUCCAGGGGCGGCAUUCUGGCUGACGUCUUCAAAAAUUCCAGCAUCAAGCCCCAGCUCUCCUCAGGCAGCAAAGUGCCCACCAGCUGCCUGGAUGUGGGGGGCAGUGGCCCUCCGGGCUGCUGUGACAAAGUCUGCCUGACACCGGAGUUUGCCAAGAGCUACUUCAUGUUCCUAAAGCCCGAGUCCCCCGAGGAACAACGAGAAAGCCGCUGAGAACUUGCCAGGACCGGGAAGGAAGCCCCGAGCAGCCAAUAACACCGUCAGUGCCGCCAGCCAGCUCAAACACAGCUUGGCUUGGCCACUUCAGAGUUGGUUCCAGAGUGGCUGGGACA